GAUGAACGCUGGCGGCGUGCCUAAUACAUGCAAGUCGAGCGAACAGACGAGGAGCUUGCUCCUCUGACGUUAGCGGCGGACGGGUGAGUAACACGUGGAUAACCUACCUAUAAGACUGGGAUAACUUCGGGAAACCGGAGCUAAUACCGGAUAAUAUAUUGAACCGCAUGGUUCAAUAGUGAAAGACGGUUUUGCUGUCACUUAUAGAUGGAUCCGCGCCGCAUUAGCUAGUUGGUAAGGUAACGGCUUACCAAGGCAACGAUGCGUAGCCGACCUGAGAGGGGGAUCGGCCACACUGGAACUGAGACACGGUCCAGACUCCUACGGGAGGCAGCAGUAGCGAAUCUUCCGCAAUGGGCGAAAGCCUGACGGAGCAACGCCGCGUGAGUGAUGAAGGUCUUCGGAUCGUAAAACUCUGUUAUUAGGGAAGAACAAAUGUGUAAGUAACUAUGCACGUCUUGACGGUACCUAAUCAGAAAGCCACGGCUAACUACGUG
rnacentral:rRNA from 1 species